AGUGGCGGACGGGUGAGUAUCGCGUAGGAACGUGUCGUGAGGUGGGGGACAACCCUGGGAAACUGGGGCUAAUACCGCAUAGGGACUGAGGUCCAAAGCCGUGAGGCGCCUUAUGAGCGGCCUGCGUCCGAUUAGGUAGUUGGUGGGGUAAAGGCCUACCAAGCCUGCGAUCGGUAGCUGGUCUGAGAGGACGAUCAGCCACACUGGGACUGAGACACGGCCCAGACUCCUACGGGAGGCAGCAGUGGGGAAUAUUGGACAAUGGGCGCAAGCCUGAUCCAGCAAUGCCGCGUGGGUGAAGAAGGUCUUCGGAUUGUAAAGCCCUUUCGACGGGGACGAUGAUGACGGUACCCGUAGAAGAAGCCCCGGCUAACUUCGUGCCAGCAGCCGCGGUAAUACGAACGGGGCUAGCGUUGCUCGGAAUGACUGGGCGUAAAGGGCGCGUAGGCGGGUGGUACAGUCAGAUGUGAAAUUCCUGGGCUCAACCUGGGGGCUGCAUUUGAUACGUGCUGUCUUGAGUUCGGAAGACGGUCGUGGAAUUCCCAGUGUAGAGGUGAAAUUCGUAGAUAUUGGGAAGAACACCGGUGGCGAAGGCGGCGACCUGGUCCGAAACUGACGCUGAGGCGCGAAAGCGUGGGGAGCAAAC
rnacentral:rRNA from 1 species